AGAGUUUGAUCAUGGCUCAGAUUGAACGCUGGCGGAAUGCUUUACACAUGCAAGUCGAACGAUGAACCUUAGCUUGCUAAGGGGAUUAGUGGCGAACGGGUGAGUAAUAUAUCGGAACGUGCCUUGUAAUGGGGGAUAACUAGUCGAAAGAUUAGCUAAUACCGCAUACGCCCUGAGGGGGAAAGUAGGGGAUCUUCGGACCUUACGUUAUAAGAGCGGCCGAUGUCUGAUUAGCUAGUUGGUGGGGUAAUGGCCUACCAAGGCGACGAUCAGUAGUUGGUCUGAGAGGACGACCAGCCACACUGGGACUGAGACACGGCCCAGACUCCUACGGGAGGCAGCAGUGGGGAAUUUUGGACAAUGGGCGAAAGCCUGAUCCAGCAAUGCCGCGUGAGUGAAGAAGGCCUUCGGGUUGUAAAGCUCUUUCAGUUGAGAAGAAAAGAUCGUGACUAAUAAUCACGAUUCAUGACGGUAUCAACAGAAGAAGCACCGGCUAACUA
rnacentral:rRNA from 1 species